UACGUAGGGUGCGAGCGUUGCCCGGAUUUAUUGGGCGUAACGGGCGCGUAGGCGGCCACGCACGUCCGUUGUGAAAUCGCCCGGCUCAACUGGGCGGGGUCAGCGGAUACGGUGUGGCUCGAGCAAGCUAGGGGGCAAUGGAAUUCCCGGUGUAGUGGUGGAAUGCGUAGAUAUCGGGAGGAACACCAGUGGCGAAGGCGGUUGCCUGGAGCUUUGCUGACGCUGAUGCGCGAAAGCGUGGGGAGCGAGCCGG
rnacentral:rRNA from 1 species